AACGAACGCUGGCGGCAUGCCUAACACAUGCAAGUCGAACGAGCCCUUCGGGUCUAGUGGCGCACGGGCGCGUAACGCGACGGAACCUGCCCUUAGGUUCGGAAUAACUCCUCGAAAGGGGUGCUCCUACCGGUUAAUGUCUUCGGACCAAAGAUUUAUCGCCUUUCGAUGGGCCUGCGUUCGAUUAGCUCGUGGGUAGGGUAAAAGCCUACCCAGGCGACGAUCCAUAGCUGAUCUGAGAGGAGGAUCAGCCACACCGGGACUGAGACACGGCCCAGACUCCUACGGGAGGCAGCAGUGGUGAACAUUGGGCAACGGGCCAAAGCCUGAUCCAGCAGGGCGGCGUGAGUGAUGAAGGGCUUAGGGUUGUAAAGCUCUUUUACCCGGGAUGAUAAUGACAGUACCGGGAAAAUAAGCACCGGCUAACUCCUUG
rnacentral:rRNA from 1 species